rnacentral:lncRNA from 1 species
AGUUACACUACAUAUAAAUACUGCUAUGGUACUGUACUCAGUAAACUCCACAAGCACUCAUACAGGACAGUUAUAUCAGAAUUCAAAGAUAGCACUCACAGCCAGGACUGGAGAGAACAGACAAUCAGGACUAAGCCAGCACUCCCAGCCAGGACUGAGGCAGCACUCCCAGCCAGGACUGAGACAGCACUCCCAGCCAGGACUGAGCCAGCACUCCCAGCCAGGACUGAGGCAGCACUCCCAGCCAGGACUGAGGCAGCACUCAUUGCAAGGACUGAGGCAGCACUCCCAGCCAGGACUGAGCCCCCAGCCAGGACUGAGGCAGCACUCCCAGCCAGGACUGAGGCAGCACUCAAAUCAAGGACUGAGCCAGCACUCCCAGCCAGGACUGAACCAGCACUCCUAGCUAGGACUGAGGCAGCACUCCCAGCCAGGACUGAGGCAGCAUUCAAAGCAAGGACUGAGGCAGCAUUCAAAGCAAGGACUGAGGCAGCACUCCCAGCCAGGACUGAGCCCCCAGCCAGGACUGAGGCAGCACUCCCAGCCAGGACUGAGGCAGCACUCAAAUCAAGGAGAGCCAGCACUCCCAGCCAGGACUGAACCAGCACUCCUAGCUAGGACUGAGGCAGCACUCCCAGCCAGGACUGAGGCAGCAUUCAAAGCAAGGACUGAGGCAGCACUCCCAGACAGGACUGAGGCAGCACUCCCAGCCAGGACUGAGGCAGCACUCAAAGAAAGGACUGAGCCAGCACUCCCAGCCAGGACUGAGCCAGCACUCCCAGCCAGGACUGAGCCAGCACUCCCAGCCAGGACUGAGGCAGCACUCCCAGCCAGGACUGAGGCAGCACUCCCAGCCAGGACUGAGCCAGCACUCCCAGCCAGGACUGAGGCAGCACUCCCAGCCAGCAGUGAUACAGAUCCUUCAGAGUAAAAGUGUCCCAGGUUGCCAGGUUUAUUGGAUUUGUUUUCAUGGCUGACUGACCUCUGCCCAUAAGAUAGAAACCUAUUAUCCUUCUGUCAGCAUUCUGUUGCUGUGAAUAAUGGUGGAAGUAAAUAGAAAACUUCUGGAUUUACUGAAAUUGCCAGGAAACUCGGAAUGUGCAGACUGCGGC